rnacentral:lncRNA from 1 species
AUGCAGGCCAGAAUCCCAUUGGCUUUUUUAGCUGCCGCAUCACAUUGUUGGCUCAUGUUUAACUUGUUGUCCACAACGACUCCAAGGUCUUUUUCACAAUACUUCUAUUUAUGCUGGCCAAAAUCCCAUUGGCUUUUUUCACCACCGCAUCACAUUGUUGGCAUGUUUAACAUGUUGUCCACAAGGACUCCAAGAUCUUUUUCACAUAUACUGCUAUUGAGCCAGGGGUCCCCCAUUCUGUAUUUUUGCAUUUUAUUUUUUCUGCCUAAGUGGAGUAUCUUGCAUUUGUCUCUGUUGAACUUCAUUUUGUUAGUUUUGGCCCAUCCCUCUAAUCUGUUAAGAUCGUUUUGAAUUCUGCUCCUGUCUUCUGGAGUAUUGGCUAUCCCUCCCAAUUUGGUGUCCUCUGUAAACUUGAUGAUCAUGCCUUCUAAACCUUCACCUAAGUCAUUAAUAAAGAUGUUGAAAAGAACCAGGCCCAGGAUGGAACCCUUUGGCACUCAACUCAUCACUUCUUUCCAGGCUGAAGAGAAAGCAUUGGUGAGCACCCUCUGGGUUUGUUCACUUAAGCAACUACAGAUCCACCUAAUCAUAGCUUUGAAUAGCCCACAUUUCAAUAGUUUGUUUGACAGAAGGUCAUGGUGGACUUUGUCAAUGGCCUUACUGAAAUCCAGAUGAGCUACAUCCACAGCAUUCCCUGCAACUACCCAGCUGAUAACUUUAUCAAAAAAAGAGAUCAGAUAAGUCUGACAUGACUUGUUUUUGAUAAAUCCAUGUUAACUAUUAGCAAUGACCACAUUCCUUUCUAAGUGUUUGCAGACCGCUUCCUUAAUGGUCUUUUCCAGAAUCUUGUCUGGUAUCGGCAUGAAGCUGACUGGAGGAUAAUUGUUUGGGUCAUCCUUUUUUCCCUUCUUGAAGAUAGGGACCACAUUUGCCCUCCUCCUAUCUUCUAGGACUUGUCUCAUUCUCCAAAAACUCUCAAAGAUCAUUGCCAGAGGUUUCAAAAUGACUUCUGCUAGUUCCUUCAGUACUCUUGGAUGUAGUUGAUCCGGCUCUAGGGACUUGAAGUCAUGACUUGUUUCCCUAUUUGGGAUUGGAUUUUCCCAAAUCCUUCAUCCAUUCCAUGUUGCUGAGAUUGAGGAUGGCUUUCUUUUUGUGAGAGACUAAAGCAAAGAAGGCAUUUAGUAGUUCUGCCUUUUCCCUAUCCUCUGUCAGCAUUACCCCAUUUUCUCUUCACAGAGGCCCUUUCGCCUCCUUGUUCUUCCUUUUUCUACUGACGUAAACAAAGAAGCCCUUUUUAUUUUUAAUUUCCCUGGCAAGCCUGAAUUUAUUUUGCGCUUGAGCCUUGCAAACCUUUUUUCCUAGAGGAGUUGGUUAUUUGAAUUCUUCUUUGGUGGUUUCUCCCCUUUUCCACUUUUUGUGCAUAUCUCUUUUGAGUCUUAGUCCAGUUAAAAGUUAUUUGGACAUCCAUUAUGACUUCUUUGCAAUUGUCUUAUUUUUUUCCCUCUUUGUUGGCACUGUUUGCAAUUGCACCUUGAGUAUUUCACUCUUUAAAAACUCCCAUCCAUCCAUAACUCCAUUUUGUUUUAGUAUUGGCUUCGUUUUUCAGAUGUCAGCUCUCCUAAAGUCCAGAGUGCGGGUUUGACUUGGCCUUCCUUUGUAUCGCAGACUGCAGGAGCAUAUAGAAUCUGACCACUCUGACUGCAUUGAUCAGAUCCUUGGUGUUUGUUAGAAUGAGAUUGAGAUUAGCCGAUCCCCUUGUUGCCUCUUCUACUUUCUGAACCAUAAAAUUAUCUGUAAGGCAAGCAAGGAAUUUGUUCGACUCUUGGCCAAGUUGUUUUUCAACAAAUGUCAGGAUAUUUGAAAUUGCCCAUGAUUACUACAUCUCUUCCUUGUGCCUGUUUGUUAAACUGUUGACAGAUGUCUUCAUCGAGUUCUUUAUCCUGGCUCAGAGGUCUAUAGUAGAUGCCCACAAUGAGAACUUUUUGAGUCCCGGUUCCAUUGAUUUUUAUCCAGAUGCUUUCAAGCUGGUUUCCCAGAUUGCAGUCUUGCAUUUCUUCUGCGGCGUAACUGUUUUUGACAUAUAAGGCUACUCCCUCUCCUUUGUUCUGUUUCUGUGAAAAAGGUUAUAGCCCUCAAUGGCUACAUUCCAGUGAUGGGAGUCAUCCCACCAGGUUUCAGUGAUGCCUAUGACAUCGUAAGUGUGGUGUCGUGCUAAAAGUUGGAGUUUGUCUUCCUUAUUUCCUAUGCUCUUUGCAUUGGUGUAAAGACAUGUAAGCCCAUGUAACCUUCCCCUGAGCUGUUUAUUUGGGAUUAUUGUGCUCUCGGUACUUGGUCCUUGCUGUGUUUGUGCAGCCCUCCAUUUAGCCUUUUGGCGGUUCCCUGUGAUUAUGCGUAAAAUACUGUUCGCAAGGCUGUUGUUUUCCUCCCCAGUGGAUCUAGUUUAAAGUGCGCCUGAUGAGGUUUGUGAGUCUGUGAGCAAAAAGGUGUUUUCCUAUUUGUGUGAGGUGCACCCCAUCCCUUGCCAGUAGGCCAUCCUCCUGGAAAAGCAGGCCAUGGUCGAGGAAGCUAAAACGUUCCUCCUGACACCAUUUUCUGAGCCAGUUAUUGACCUGUACUAUUUUGAACAAGGAUGGUCUACUGAGUGAUAUCUAAUUGUGGUCCUCCCCAAGAUGUUAUGUUUCCUGAUCAAGUGUUAGUGGUGUAAGAAUUUGGAAUAUAUUGUGUAACUGUAGCUGAUCAGAAGUAUUCUGAGGAAGCUGCUUGGUCCUGUGUCUCUUUCUAAGGGUGACAUUCUUCAAGUCUAAUGGUUGCCCAUAUUUGAAGUGCUCUCCCCAUAUCAUGUUCAUGUUGGUUUGAGGUGGGUUGCGUAUUUAGAACAGCAUGCUGUGUGGUGUCCAAGAAGAGCCCGAGUUCCUGAAUGUACUUAAGGGUCUUAAUUCAGUGCUUGAGUCGUCGAAUGCUCUGUUCUAUAAUAGUUAUCUGUUUGCACUUGGUGCAGAUGUAGUUGAGUAGCUGUUGUGUGAAGAAGCUGAACAUGCCACAGCUUUUACAUGUGAUGGGAAUGUUUUGCUUUUGUUCCAUCUUGUGAAUGAGGAUACCAAGCAGGAUUCUUAUAGUGUUAGUUAAUGUGUCUGCAUGCUAUGUGGAGACUGCUAAUCACUUUCCCCUAUCUGUGUUUGUUUUGUAUUGUUUUGUUUUCUGUAUGUAUUGUAAAGGUGUGUGUUAGUGAGUCAGCUAGCCUUUUACUAUAGGAGGCAAGCACACUCUCAGCUUUCUAGUGCAAUCUAAGUCAAGGCUUACCUGAAGCAAGGGAGCAAAGGUGGCUUCUUGCUUUUUAACUUCUGUGGGAACCCAACCCAAUUUGGGAAGAUAUUCUGGAAUUCCAAAAUACCAGUGAGGAUGGUAAGUUUUUUCAUUUGUGGCUAGGAUGCCUCCAACAAAGUUUACAAACUUCAUAUGGUAACCUCCUUAGAUAUUUAAAGACAAGACAUCUUUAUAGGAAUCUCUAGGUCCUCCAAUAUGAAAGUUAACAAUAGAAAUGUGCUGGAAAACCGAGAAAUUCCACUAACAGUAUUAUCUCAGGUUAAAAGAUAACAAUUGCCUUAUUUGCAGUUUUUCACUUCCCAAGGAUCUUGUGACUCUAACCUUAGAAAAUAUGAAGGGCUAACUGUACCUGCUUCCACAGUAAACACUGCUACACUCACAUUCACAUUUCAUCCUUUAAGUUUUUGAGCACUUCUUGAUUUUCUACAGACCCAUCUGUGGAACCUUCUUGGCAGACAGAUUUACUAUUCUUCUUCAGUUCUAAGACUCACUUUUUUCCUAUAUAAACAUCUCUAAAAAUGGUGUACAUCUUAGAAUUGCAGGCUUAUCUUAUAUAAUUUUGUUGGUGAUGAUGUCAUUGAAAUUAGUGUGUCUUACAAUCGGUGUCUUAUAAUUGAAGAAGAAUAUGGGACUUCAUACUUCCUUUAAUGACAGUAUCUUUAUUAAUCUGUUUAUUAAUUUGCUGACAAAGCAUGUUGGAUCAAAUUGUGAAUUACAACACUCUCUGUAAAUGAGUGAUUCGGUAGGUCAUUUGACACAGUACGAGGAUCUUUUUAUUUUGCUUUUACUACUAGAAGAAUUAAUUUAUUUACUAUUAUGUACAGUCAUUUAAUUAGCUAGCUGCUGUUUUUAUUUGUGUUUUACAAUUUUUACAAGAUCCGAAGUUAGUUCU